UUUUUUAACCAUUUCUCCACCUUUUUAACCAUUUCCCACCUUUUUUAACCAUUUUCCCAAUUUUUUAACCAUUUCCCAUUUUUUCAACCAUUUCCCACCCUUUUUAACCAUUUCCCACCUUUUUAACCAUUUUCCCAAUUUUUUAACCAUUUCCCAUUUUUUUAACCAUUUCCCACCUUUUUUAACCAUUUCCCGCCCUUUUUAACCAUUUCCACCUCUUUUUAACCAUUCCCACCUUUUUUUUUUUAACCAUUUCCCACCUUUUUUAACCAUUUCCCCAAUUUUUUAACCAUUUCCCAUUUUUUUAACCACUUCCCACCCUUUUUAACCAUUUCCCACCUUUUCCCACCAUUUUCCCACCUCCUUUUCCAAUUUCUCCACCUCCUUUUCCGAUUUCCCCUCCUUUUCCCCCAAUUUCCCUCCUCCCCCUCCCUGCUGGCCUUGAGGAUCCCUCGACUUUCGGUGCCUUUCCCCACCCCACCUCCAAAAAACCCCAUUUUCGCCUGAAUUUUGAGCCCAUAACUCACAUUUUCACCAACCCAACGCGCUCUUCAUCCCCCAACCCAACGGCAUCUUCCUCGCUCAACCCAACGCGCUCUUCCUCGCCCAACUCAACCUCAUCUUCCUCACCCAACUCAACGCAAUCAUCUCCCAACUCAACGCAAUCAUCUCCCAACUCAACGCGCUCUUCCUCCCCAAACUCAACGCGCUCUUCCUCCCCAACAACCUCAUCUUCCUCCCCCAACCCAACGCUCUUCCUCCCCAACUCAACAUCAUCUUCCUCCCCCAACUCGACGCACUCUUCCUCCCCAACUCAACGCAAUCAUCUCCCAACUCAACAUGAGCAUCUCCCAACUCAACGCGUUCUUCCUCACCCAACUCAACGCAAUCAUCUCCCAACUCAACGCAAUCAUCUCCCAACUCAACACAAUCAUCUCCCAACUCAACGCAAUCAUCUCCCAACUCAACGCAAUCAUCUCCCAACUCAACACAAUCAUCUCCCAACUCAACACAAUCAUCUCCCAACUCAACGCGCUCUUCCUCCCCAACCCAACGCUCUUCCUCCCCAACAACCUCAUCUUCCUCCCCCAACCCAACGCGCCCUUCCUCCCCAACUCCACCCCCUCCACCCCACUUUGGCGACGAGUUUGCGGCCCCUCACCUUUCACGGUGACCACCACCACGCGGCUGAGCGGCGAGGGCACCCAACGCUCGCUCACCUUCUCCUCGUACCUACAGGAGAAGCUCCCGGCCGUGGUUUUGGCCACGGGUGGCCACCUCGACCCCCGCGGUGGCCUCGGACCCGUCCUGGAAGAAGCGGAACCGCGGCCCCACCGCGCUCGCCGGGGCCGUGCAGAGGAAGAGGAGGGGGAAGCCUUCGCUCACCACCCCCGACGUGGCGUUGAGGACCAGCGUCGGGGCUGGAGGAGGGUCUGGGGGGCGAAAAAUGGGGGGAAACGGCGUCAAAAUUUGGCCCCGAUAUCGGUUUUUUGGGUUUUUUUUAACCCGAUUUGGGGUCGGGAUUUUUUUUGGGGGAAAACGGGGGUUUGGGGGCGUGCCGGAAUUGAAUUUGAGGAGGAAAAUGGUAAUUUUAGGUGA
rnacentral:lncRNA from 1 species